rnacentral:rRNA from 1 species
AGAGUUUGAUCAUGGCUCAGAUUGAACGCUGGCGGCAGGCCUAACACAUGCAAGUCGAGCGGUAGCACAGAGAGCUUGCUCUCGGGUGACGAGCGGCGGACGGGUGAGUAAUGUCUGGGAAACUGCCUGAUGGAGGGGGAUAACUACUGGAAACGGUAGCUAAUACCGCAUAACGUCGCAAGACCAAAGUGGGGGACCUUCGGGCCUCAUGCCAUCAGAUGUGCCCAGAUGGGAUUAGCUAGUAGGUGGGGUAAUGGCUCACCUAGGCGACGAUCCCUAGCUGGUCUGAGAGGAUGACCAGCCACACUGGAACUGAGACACGGUCCAGACUCCUACGGGAGGCAGCAGUGGGGAAUAUUGCACAAUGGGCGCAAGCCUGAUGCAGCCAUGCCGCGUGUGUGAAGAAGGCCUUCGGGUUGUAAAGCACUUUCAGCGGGGAGGAAGGCGGUGAGGUUAAUAACCUCAGCGAUUGACGUUACCCGCAGAAGAAGCACCGGCUAACUCCGUGCCAGCAGCCGCGGUAAUACGGAGGGUGCAAGCGUUAAUCGGAAUUACUGGGCGUAAAGCGCACGCAGGCGGUCUGUCAAGUCGGAUGUGAAAUCCCCGGGCUCAACCUGGGAACUGCAUUCGAAACUGGCAGGCUAGAGUCUUGUAGAGGGGGGUAGAAUUCCAGGUGUAGCGGUGAAAUGCGUAGAGAUCUGGAGGAAUACCGGUGGCGAAGGCGGCCCCCUGGACAAAGACUGACGCUCAGGUGCGAAAGCGUGGGGAGCAAACAGGAUUAGAUACCCUGGUAGUCCACGCCGUAAACGAUGUCGAUUUGGAGGUUGUGCCCUUGAGGCGUGGCUUCCGGAGCUAACGCGUUAAAUCGACCGCCUGGGGAGUACGGCCGCAAGGUUAAAACUCAAAUGAAUUGACGGGGGCCCGCACAAGCGGUGGAGCAUGUGGUUUAAUUCGAUGCAACGCGAAGAACCUUACCUGGUCUUGACAUCCACAGAACUUUCCAGAGAUGGAUUGGUGCCUUCGGGAACUGUGAGACAGGUGCUGCAUGGCUGUCGUCAGCUCGUGUUGUGAAAUGUUGGGUUAAGUCCCGCAACGAGCGCAACCCUUAUCCUUUGUUGCCAGCGGUUAGGCCGGGAACUCAAAGGAGACUGCCAGUGAUAAACUGGAGGAAGGUGGGGAUGACGUCAAGUCAUCAUGGCCCUUACGACCAGGGCUACACACGUGCUACAAUGGCAUAUACAAAGAGAAGCGACCUCGCGAGAGCAAGCGGACCUCAUAAAGUAUGUCGUAGUCCGGAUUGGAGUCUGCAACUCGACUCCAUGAAGUCGGAAUCGCUAGUAAUCGUAGAUCAGAAUGCUACGGUGAAUACGUUCCCGGGCCUUGUACACACCGCCCGUCACACCAUGGGAGUGGGUUGCAAAAGAAGUAGGUAGCUUAACCUUCGGGAGGGCGCUUACCACUUUGUGAUUCAUGACUGGGGUGAAGUCGUAACAAGGUAACCGUAGGGGAACCUGCGGUUGGAUCACCU